rnacentral:misc_RNA from 1 species
UCUUUCAGAAGAUAGCCAAGUUUCUUGCACGCACCAAUCAGAUUAUUCAAUCACACGUUUUCGUCUUGAAACGAUGACUGGCGUAGGAGCGAAAUUGUCCCGCCUGGAGCCAUCUAUUGAACCAUGAACCAUGAACUAGGUAUUAAUUAAUUGUGACAUAUACAUAAAAAGAAGUUUACAGAUAUGCUGUCAAAAUAUAUAAAUACUAUAUUUACCUACGGAAAAUGUUUACAGUUAUUUCAGAACCAUGUACCAGCAUUGCUCACUACUAUUAAUCAAUCCAAUGACUUUACACAAGCCAGAUAUAUCGCUAAGCAUUGGAAUCCAAAAUUUAAGAAAGAAAGGAGGGAAAAGGUUAUUAAAAUUAAACUUCCAUCAUUUGAAAAUGAGGAUGAAGAUCCUACUAAAUUAAGCAAAGAACAAAUACGUUCACGUAUGAAGGAACAUGGUUUCGUUCCACAAAAACAAUGGUCAGAAAGACCGGCAUAUAUGAGCUGUACUCCUAUAAUUUUUGAAUCAUAUAUUGCUCCUGAAGGAGAUGGAAAAUAUUCUGCUAUUACUAAAGAGGGAGCAAAACAAAAAUAUUCAUUUUUGAAGAAGAAGAGCAAAUCUUUAUUGGCCAUUAGAAAAAUUAAAUCAUUUGAUGAUAUGUUUAAAACAUCUCAUUUUAUAGAAGAAGCCAUUGAUAUUUAUAAGAAAGCAUAUGAAGCUUUAGCUGCUAAGGAGGGUGAGGAGAAAUUAUUACAAUAUGUUACUGAAACUGCAUAUCCUAAAAUGAUACAUAAUAUGAUGGACAAAACUAUACAUUGGAAGUUUUUGGAAUCAUUAGAACCUGCCCGUGUCGUACAUAUGAGGACUACAGACGUAAUAACAAAAGAAAAUGUUUUCGCACAAAUUACUGUUCGAUUUCAUACGCAACAGAUAUUAGCGAUUUACGAUAGGUUCGGUCGAUUAAUACAAGGGAGUGAAAUCCUGAGAAAAGAUGUAUUGGAAUAUAUAGUAUUUGAAAAACAUUUAGCUAACGAAUAUGGUAUUUGGCGCAUUCAUGGUAAGAUUAUACCAUCUUGGAUGACUCCAAAGGAUAUAUCAGAAGGCACAUAUGUUCUACCAAAACAGAAACAUGAUCCUAUGCCCACUGAACCAGCUCCUAUGGAAACUACAUUAGUUGAAAAUACAUCAAAAGAUUCCACAAAUGUGCAAUCUUUAUAAGUGAUGCUUAUAUUGUAUUUUAUCAAUUAAUUGUAUUAUUAUUAAAAUAGAAAAAUAUAGAAAUAAGAACUUGCGUAAAUGCAGGUAAAGGUGCCUCAUAGCCUCACUCCUCCUUCAACUCAUCCUUCGCUAUCUCUGUGAGAAGCUUAUUCUUGUCCAUGAUACCAGCACAAAGUUUCAGGGACAGUCCCUGGAAAUAAUCGCGCAGUACAACAAACGGAAUUUUUUUGGUACUAUUUGUCGGCAACUGAUCACGUCGCCUGCAAUUGACCACAGUCGUCAAGUUAUCGAAACGAAUGCCGAACGGAUUCAUCAGCGGCUGCGAGGAACGAUUGCCGCCUCGAUUAAGUUAUGACCUCUGGCCAAUUAUACUUGCCUCACGAGUGUGUCGUCCGACAUAUUUGUAGCAUGGAUUUUCAAUUAUAAUCUGCUCGCAUUUCUGGGAUUUGCAAUUUGGAUAUAGAUUAUGUAUACAGGGUGUUCAAAAAGUUCCGGUACGACCAUGUAACUCUUGAAAUAUUGGAUAUCGUAAAAAAUUUUUUCGGCAAAAGUUGCAGGGAAUAAAAAAAGGUAUUCAAUAGUAAUCUUGACCUUUAACCUUGAAGUAACCUUCAAAGUCAAAUGAAGAUCAACCCCGUUUUUUCAAAUAGAAGCAUGUGUUUUUGAUAGCGGAAAUAGAAAGAACAUAAAAAAUUACGUCCAGAUAUAUCCUUAGUCACGUUGACCUUUGACAUCUAGAGGUCAUUUCAAGGUCAUUGAACCUUACAUUUCUAUAAGUUACGGUAUGGCCGGAUAAAUCUAGAAAUAUUGGUUGUCAUAAGAAACUUCUUCGACAAAAGUUGCAGGGAAUAAAAAAAGGUAUUUAAUGAUGAUGUUAACUUUUGACCUUGAGGUAACUUUCAAGGUGAAAUGAAGGUCAACCUCGUUUUUUCAAACGAAGCAUGUGUUUUUGAUAAAUUGAAAGAGCGUAAAAAAUUACGUCUAGAUAUGUCCUUAGUCAUGUCGACCUUUGACCUAUAGAGGUCAUUUUAAGGUCAGAGGUCAAGGUCACUUUUGAAUACCUUUUCUUAUUCCUUGCAACUUUUGUCUAAGAAGUUUCUUAUGACCAACCAAUAUUUCCACUUUUUAAAUACCCUGUAUAACCAUGCGCGCGAUUUUGCAGCACUAUUUCCUAUCAAGUAUCUCAAGAUCGAACACAGAUGCAUUCCCCAUUAAACGAUAACAAUUUCGGUUUCUGAAAUUAAUGACUAAGUUAUUUUCAUAACUUUAUAAGCUACAAUUAUGAAUUAUUAGUCCGAAAGUGUUUAUGAGUUUAUUUAUAACAAUGUGACGCAGAGAAAAUAUCCAUGUUUGCUAUAAACACAAAAGAAAAUAAAAAAUAAAUAACAUAAAAGAAAUAAUAUCUAAUCACUUUCUGUUUUGCUCAACCUCAUCCUGUUAUGCUUAUUGUUGGCAAAAUAGUUAAUAAUUAAUAGUUAUAUAAUAGUUUAAUAGUUAUAAUUUGAAAUUGGUCUGUUCCUUUGUGUAAAAAAAGAUAGUCUAAUUGUAAAAUUAAGUGUAAUUAUUGCACGCAGAAUUCGUGAUGAGCAAUAAAGCAUUCCGUACCUUAUUCGCACGUAUCAAGGUUGAUUGCUCAUGGCGUUAUCAAUUAUUAAUUCAUGGAUCGUCACGUGUACGUACAUAUAUCCAGCGGGAACACCAAAAA